rnacentral:lncRNA from 1 species
GGUUGGAUCAGGCUGUGGGUGCUGACCCUGCUCUCUGCAUCCCCCACAGGGCACCGUCCCAGGGAGGGAGCAGCAGCCGUGCGCGGCGAUGGCGGAGGAGCUCCAGACUCUGAACACGGAUCUGCUGGCCAUCAGGGGGGCGCUGGAGGCGGAUGGCCCUGUGGGGACCCCUGCCACGGCCCUGUGGGGAAGCUGGCCCAGGAGUUCCUGGCCGCGGUUCACGGUUUCCAUGCCCAGUUCGCUCAGUGCCGGCGGAUGCAGGCGGUGGCCCCCGGCGAGCUGGAGGCCCUGCUCCAGGAGGUCUCUGGGGACCCCGGCUGCUGGUUCUACAUCGGCUGCACCCGGGUGCUGACGCACUAUCUCUGGGAGGCUGGGCCGUGGUGCCGGGCUGGCAGCACAGGGCAGCUGGCUACAAGAAAACCUGGACCUACUACUGCCGGCCGGGGCCGGGGGCCGAGCUCUGCACUGUGAGGCACCUGCUGGGCCGGUUCUGUGGCACCCACCCCCACUGCCUCAACGCCUCAUGCGUCAGGAACGGCCCGGCCGGCAUCGUCUUCCUAGUGACCUAUGCCCGGCGGGGCAGCUGGCCGGGGGAGCCUGCUGAGGACAUGGAGGCAGCGCUGCACGGCAUCACUGUCCACUUCCGCCACCGGGGGGCGCUGGCGGACGAGCUGGGGCAGUUUCUCAAGGACGACUUCUGCCAGCUGAUUGGGCGGUACCCGGGCUACCUGGCGCAGUGCCAGGCCAUGAGCCAGAUCCCUCCGGCGCACUUCCCGGGGAGGGCCCGGGAGAUCCUGGCGGGGCUGGGGACGGCGGAGGGGGUCCUGGCAGGCAUGGUACCAGACAAGGUGGUUUCCAUGCGGCCCUGCCUGUGGGAGGUGGGGGCAGGCGAGGCGCAGGCCAGCGAGAAGCUGCACACCUACUUCACCAGGCUGGACGGUGGCCUCGAUGCCAAGUGGCUGCUGGAGGAGAUCUGGGGCCACUCCUGCUGCCUCAACAGCCACCGGUGCUGGGAGGGCAGGGUGGACAGGUGA